UGUUGUUUCCUGCUUUGUCUUUGUUUCUUCCAAGCCCCUUUUCCUGCUUGUUUUGGUUACUGAAUUUCCCAUAGGAGCCUUCCCUGUCCAUUUAUAUUUUAAGAGUGAAUACUAAAAUGCUGAUUGGGCAUCUGUGUGACAAGGAAGGGGGCUUAACUUCCUUGUAGGGUUCCAGAAGAGAGCCUGCUUUUUUCCUGCUGGUGACACCUAAAUGUCAGUGCCUAUAGAUCUUUUCCGUGGGGAUGUUGGGUUUUCCUGGAGAAGAAUGUUGCCUGGGGGUUUAAUAGCCUGGUUGUCCUGCAUUCUGGGAGCCUUGAUGGCAAAGGAGGCUGGGUACCCUGUUUGGUAUGCAGACUUUCACUCCCUCUGUCCUUUUCUGAAGGUUGCCCCCUUCUCUGCCUUCCUCUCUCAGCUAUUCCCCUCCCUCAGCUGUGUCUGAAUCAGAGUCUCUCUUGUAGUUUGCCUAAACAGUGAAUCUCUACCUUUUUCCUGAGGGAGGGAAAUCAGACUGAGCAGAUUGCAGGCAGGGAGACCCUGGGCUGGAAUCGCUCCUUGAACAACUUUUAGCAGAGUCUCUUUUUAGCCCCUGUCCCCUCCCCUCUCAGUCCUUGGUGCCUCCAAUUCCUGAGGCUUCUCCUGUUUCUGUGGCAUUAGUCCCCUCUUGUUUAGUGGUUUCUUCCCCUGCUUGCACUUAGCAGAGCAGAAACCUGAAUCAGCUACUGCAUGGUGGUCAGCUCUCUGUCUUCCAGAGUUUUGUUGAUGUAUCUUGUCUGCUGUUGUUUCCUUUCCAUUAAAAAUCAAAUUUUUCUGGUGGGGUUCUGGGAGAGAGCAGGGAUAAAUAUGGGUGUUUUAAUCCUCUGAUUUGACCAGAAGUUUCAUCUCUUUAUCCAAGCCCUUAAACUGGUACCUGAUAUAUCGUAUAUUCCCAAGAAAUGUUUGUUAACUGAUUGAACACGCGUUUCUAAGAUGGUAUGGCUACUGUUAGUCGUAAGAUUUCAAGAGAGUCCCAAACAUACAAUCUUACAAAGAUAAAUCCGUUGUUUAUUCUGAGGUAGAUGUAGUAACUGGCAACAGAUCCUGCCAUUCUCCCUGUGCCGUGUAGGGUAGGGAGCGCCAUGAGACAGCGUUGUAGGCUUUUGGGCUAGAGAUCGACGAGACUCAGAUGCUGUCUCUAGGCUUAUCACUAAUGACCUGAGUCACCUUUAGAAGUCACUUAACCUGUCUGGGUCUUGGUUUCCCCAGCCUUAAAAUGGGCUAUCGGUCAAGAUUUGAUUCCAUUCACUGCGCUGAAUACCUGCUGUGUCAACGCAUGGUGCUAAGAUCCUUCCAGGUUGGACACAGAGAAUGUGUGUCUGUGCCCUGGUCCCGGAUGGUGUACAUCACCAGAUUCAUGGAGGACUCAGAAUUGGUUGUUAGGAAACUGUCUUCAAACCAACUAAUAGCUUUACACAGGAAAUAGGAAGCUGGGAUGGUGGUUCUCAGGUAAGUCCACUUGGGACUGACACGUAGAGUUGACUGUGUGCCUGGCACUGCACCCAGCGUCUUUACAUUAAGAACCACUAAAGCAGUGGUUCUUAAACUUUGGGGAGCAUCAGAAUUCACCUGGGGUACUUGCUAAAAAUACAUAGUACUCCAUGGUGGGGCCCAAGGAUUUGAAUUUUUUAAUUUAUUUUAUUUGAGAGAGCAAGAGUGGGGGAAGGGGCAGAGGGAGAAGGGAGAGAGGGAGAGACAGAGAGAGAGAGAGAGAGAGAGAGGGAGAGAGAAUGGGAGAGAGAACCUUAAGCAGGCUCCACACUCAGCACAGAGCCCGAUGCAGGGCCUGACACCAUGACCCUGGGAUCAUGACCUGAACUGAAGUCAAGUCAGACGCUCAACUGACUGAGCCACCCAGGUGUCCCCCAAGGAUUUGAAUUUUUAACAUAUUCUCUAGGUUAUGCAAGUUAUAUCCAGAUGAUGUCAGCUGCAAAUAACAAACUCCAGCCCAGAUUGGCUAACUGGCAAAACUUGUUUCUCAAACAGGAGGGAUGCAUUUUAAAACUGCAAGGCCCAUCAGUCCUGUGGGCCACAAUGUGGGCCAUGCCCCCUGGAGUUGGCAGUGGGAUGAUUCUGAAUCUCAAGAUAGGGUGGGUUUGGGGGCAGUCGCUUCAGUAGCUCAGUGACGUCAGCAAGGCCCCCGGUUUCUUCCCAUCUCUGCUAUCUUUGGUGGUUGGCUU